rnacentral:rRNA from 1 species
AUGGCGGCGGACACGACGGUGACCCGAUCGCCGGAGCAAUCCAAGAAAUCGGGCGGCAGCGACGACGCGGAAGAGGAGAAGGAGGAGACUCAGGAGAGGGAGGCCAAGAAGAUGAAGACCAAUCCAGCGUCAGUGGAAGCCGCCGCCAGGGACGACGAUGGGGACGAGGAGUUGGAGAUCUCGUCUCCGCUCUGCGAGCCCUACAUCCCCGACGAGCUGGACGACCCCUACCGCUACCGGGGGAUAUCCGCCGCCUACGAGAUCGCGAGAGCCGAAUUCUCUGAAAAAGAAGGUCGCCUGAAUAAACUGCCGACGCGCAAGUAUUUCCAUUCGCCGGUCCUCCACGUCCCUGACCCCGGAAGGAAGGCCGCGCUCUCCACCGCGAGAUCCCUCCUCCGUCUCUCCUCCUAUCUAGAUGGCGAGCCGCUGGGGCAUUCUGCCGGUCUUUGGAUCGACUGGGACGAGGAGAGCAGAACCGGCAUCCUUCUGACAACCGCGCAUCUGAUCCGCGCCAAAAAGCCUUACACGAAAGGCCGCCGGUGGCGCACAGGCCCGUACCACUAUCACCCUGGUGCUCAAGUUACGGUUCACUUGCUUGACGACACCACUGCGGAGGGCCAUCUGCUGUACCACCAGGAGCAUUAUGACCUUGCUUUCUUCAAGGUUGCAGUGGAUGAACGUGUUCAACCAGUCUCUUUUGCUGACACGGUCGGUGAUGGUCAAGAGGCUUUGCGGCUUGGAAGGGAACAAAAUUUGAAUCUAAAGAUAGUCCGUGGCACGGUGGAGUAUCAGAAUAAUCCAAUACUAGAUGAGGGACACCACUACAUGCACUUUUCUCGACAUGGAAAAUAUGAGUGUGAAGAUGGUGGAGACCCCAUCAUUGAUUUUGGUGGAAAGGUUGUGGGGAUGACCAACCGUUGUGAAAGCUGGUGCAUCCCUCGGCCCCUCCUUGGUUUGCAGUUUGAGGCCAUAAAGUUUCUAGAUCCUACACAUGCUGAAUAUAUAUGGCGCAAGUUAAACAUUGAUGAUGGUCUUGUUGUCGAGGAGGAGAAGGCAAAGAGAUAUGCCAUGUCCAAUUGUCCACAAGGAUGA